AAAACUUGUGUUUGUUUUUGUUUAAUUUGUGGACAAAGACUUCUAGACAGGUGCAAAAAUAAAUCCUCUUUUGCAACACAGAACUCAUUGUUCAGUAUGAGUUUUGAUACAGAUGAAAAGGAACAUG
ensembl:snoRNA